AUUCGCUGUACAGUUAGUUAAUAAUGAGUUUUUGGAAGUAAUUUUCGUUCCUAAUUGGUUUUGUGUUAUAAAAUUACUAAUAUUUCUUUUACCAAAAAUAUAUUUUCAUUAAAAAAAAUAAUGCCGAGUUACUAUUACCGAUUUCGUUGAAAACAAAAUUGCCUAAAAUGUGACGUCACACCAGGAGGGGGGGAGGGGUCAAAAAACCUAGAAAUUCGUGUGACGUAAUUAAUGGAUGAUCCCUAUGGAAACUAAAGCGUGGCGAGAUGUCUAGCUGUCAUAAUCCACCAAUCAUGUUUAACCAUAUUUUAUUUAUUGGUGGAUUUUGACAGCAGCUAUCAAAAAGACCUCUCGUCACGGUGCUGCCACCUAGUGAAAAUCUCGAUCGCAGAAACCCUCAUUGAGCGAGAUUUUCUUGAUGGAAGAGUGUUUUUCUUAGAAAAAGUACUCGUUAGCGUGGUAAAUUGUCAACAGUAUAUUAACAAAGAGAAUUUAGAUAGAGGGGUGUUGUCAAAGUUAAUUUUGUAGUCACAUUAAAUUCACUGCCAUCUUUCGACCCAGGGAUUAAAAGUUUUAGAACGCCAUCGCCAUUUGACUUCGUUCCUUAUUUUUUUUAAUACUAAAUUCUCUUUGGUAUAUGUGCAUCUCAUUUAUUUUAUCCCACUCUGGAUUCUACACAUACGUUGUUGCUGGCGCGUGAAAAUGGCUGAUUACUAGACUCGGACCAAGCUAACUCUGCGUGGCAAAGUGUCAUUAAUGUCAAAACUCCAUGAAACUAUGAACUCACUUUGUUCUGUUCAAAAUAAACGUAUCUUCUGUACCUAAGUAUUUUGUAAUGUAUAGAAAUUAAUACUUGCACCCAAAACACCGACAAAAUGUCUUCAUUGGCAAUGACAGCUUUAAAAUGUAAUUCAUUUCACACUUGACAACCAAAACUCGCUUUAAGUAACAAAAUUAAAUACUAACAGAGCUCGUAUCUUAGUGCAGUUAGUGUUAUUUUAUAGGAAACGAUUGUACAGAGUUUUGGUUGUUAACUGAAUGUAAUAUAAGGUAAUAAAAAAAAACAACAAAACUUUGGCUUACUCAUUUAUGCACCUCUAAAAUUAAGAGUACCACCGGUACUACGCACUGUUGUAGAAAUUCCGACACAGCCGGCUAUCAAAAUUCAACUUUAAGUCGUUACAACGAGAGUCAAAAUUCGCUUGGGUUGAGAAUCUCACAGAUACACCUAGGCGUAUUACCAGGACUAUCACAGUAAAUCGCAUACAACACUCCUAUUGAAAAUAAUACAUACGAUGUUCGCGGUCACGCCCAUAUCUAGUACAAACAUGAGAAAUCUAACUACUGACACUCGGAAUUAUUAGAAUACAGCAUUGAAAAUUCCUGUAUUAUCAUUCAAUUAUUCAAUUAUGUUUACAAAAUAUGUCAUGCAAUACAAUUAUUCUUCAUUAAGUAUGAAGAACUGAAAAUUCCUGGACUGGCCACUUAGAAAAAAUAAGUUUCAGUAUGGCCCACGUACAACAGAGUACAAAUGUGCCAGUUGGUGAAAGCUUAGAGAAUAUAACCAAACGGAGUGGUCAUUAACAGGCGUUCCCCUCUGUCGAAAAUAGGCAGCCAAUGGUCAACGACAUGUCAACCACAUGUAUGGACUGACGUUUAUCUGACAUGGCUAUGUUUACGUUACGUAUACAUUUGAUGUGCCCCUCCCCCGCAAAAAACGGCAGACUAUUUUGUACCGCAA